AGAGAGAGAGAGAGAGAGAGCCUUCCAAUAUAUAAAAGGCUAUUAUACACAUGACUCAGCAAUAACCAUCACAAAAUCUGUCCAUGUGUCAGUCUAAACAAUAUUAGGAUUCAAGUAAGCAGAUAAGCUUCAGUUUGUCAUUGCAUAAAAUACAAUUUCGUAAAGGAGGCUGCUAACUUCCCCAAAAAACCCAUUUUCUAGAACUAUAACAGAAUAUAGGUUCAUGUCUCCCCAAAAUCAAUGAGACAUCAGAUAAGCAUAUGAUUUUUGGGAGGGGGUUUUCCAUCAUUAGUUAAUUUACAUUUCAAUUCUUCUUCUUCUCCUUCUUGUCUAUCCUUCAGACAAUAUCUCACAUUCUCUCUCUUUUUCUUUCCUUCAAAAUAAAUUUUAUCUAUUGUGAUGUAUAAUGCUAAACAUAAAAAAAAAGGGAAGAAAAGAAAAGAGGGAAGGGGGAUGGGUUCA
rnacentral:misc_RNA from 1 species